GGGCUCAACCCUGGACAGGUGGUGAAAACUACUAAGCUAGAGUACGGUAGGGGCAGAGGGAAUUUCCGGUGGAGCGGUGAAAUGCGUAGAGAUCGGAAGGAACACCAAUGGCGCAAGCACUCUGCUGGGCCGACACUGACACUGAGAGACGAAAGCUAGGGGAGCGAAGGGGAUUAGAGCCCCCAGUAGUCUUAGCCGUAAACGAU
rnacentral:rRNA from 13 species